AUUGAACGCUGGCGGCAUGCUUUACACAUGCAAGUCGGACGGCAGCACAGAGAAGCUUGCUUCUUGGGUGGCGAGUGGCGAACGGGUGAGUAAUAUAUCGGAACGUACCGAGUAAUGGGGGAUAACUAAUCGAAAGAUUACCUAUUACCGCAUAUUCUCUGAGGAGGAAAGCAGGAGACCUUCGGGCCUUGCUUUAUUCACGCGGCCGAUAUCUGAUUAGCUAGUUGGUGGGGUAAAGGCCUACCAAGGCGACGAUCAGUAGCGGGUCUGAGAGGAUGAUCCGCCACACUGGGACUGAGACACGGCCCAGACUCCUACGGGAGGCAGCAGUGGGGAAUUUUGGACAAUGGGCGAAAGCCUGAUCCAGCCAUGCCGCGUGUCUGAAGAAGGCCUUCGGGUUGUAAAGCACUGUUGUCAGGGAAGAAAAGGCUGUUGCUAAUACAGACAGGUGAUGACGGUACCUGAAGAAUAAGCACCGGCUAACUACGUG
rnacentral:rRNA from 1 species